rnacentral:rRNA from 1 species
AUUGAACGCUGGCGGGAUGCUUUACACAUGCAAGUCGAACGGCAGCGCGGACUUCGGUCUUGCGGCGAGUGGCGAACGGGUGAGUAAUGUAUCGGAACGUGCCCAGUAGCGGGGGAUAACUACGCGAAAGCGUAGCUAAUACCGCAUACGCCCUGCGGGGGAAAGCAGGGGAUCGUAAGACCUUGCACUAUUGGAGCGGCCGAUAUCGGAUUAGCUAGUUGGUGAGGUAACGGCUCACCAAGGCGACGAUCCGUAGCUGGUUUGAGAGGACGACCAGCCACACUGGGACUGAGACACGGCCCAGACUCCUACGGGAGGCAGCAGUGGGGAAUUUUGGACAAUGGGGGCAACCCUGAUCCAGCCAUCCCGCGUGUGGGAUGAAGGCCUUCGGGUUGUAAAGCACUUUUGGCAGGAAAGAAACGUAGCGGGCUAAUACCCCGUGGAACUGACGGUACCUGCAGAAUAAGCACCGGCUAACUACGUG